rnacentral:rRNA from 1 species
GAUGAACGCUAGCGGCAGGCUUAAUACAUGCAAGUCGAGGGGUAGCAAGAUUGUAGCAAUACAAUUGUUGACGACCGGCAAACGGGUGCGGAACACGUACACAACCUUCCUACAAGUGGGGAAUAGCCCAGAGAAAUUUGGAUUAAUACCCCGUAACAUAGCGAUGUGGCAUCACAUUGCUAUUAUAGCUUCGGCGCUUGUUGAUGGGUGUGCGGCUGAUUAGAUAGUUGGCGGGGUAACGGCCCACCAAGUCUACGAUCAGUAGCUGAUGUGAGAGCAUGAUCAGCCACGCGGGCACUGAGACACGGGCCCGACUCCUACGGGAGGCAGCAGUAAGGAAUAUUGGACAAUGGACGCAAGUCUGAUCCAGCCAUGCCGCGUGAAGGAUUAAGGUCCUCUGGAUUGUAAACUUCUUUUAUAAGGGACGAAAAAAGGUCUUUCUAGAUCGUCUGACGGUACCUUAUUAAUAAGCACCGGCUAACUCCGUGCCAGCAGCCGCAGUAAAAC